rnacentral:rRNA from 1 species
GGGAGUAUCGACCCUCUCUGUGCCGAAGCUAACGCUUUAAGUACCCCGCCUGGGGAGUACGGUCGCAAGACUAAAACUCAAAGGAAUUGACGGGGGCCCGCACAAGCAGCGGAGCGUGUGGUUUAAUUCGACGCUACACGAAGAACCUCACCAAGGCUUGACAUGUUAGAAGUAGUGAACCGAAAGGGAAACG